GUUUCUUAUUUCAUUUCUCAUGGGAAUUUUGUCUCUUCAUUCUUGUUAAAAUGUUUGCAUGUUUAUGUUAUAGUUGGCUACCUUGUUGCCCCAGGGCACCUGUCUUGGGGAUAACCAAGAAUGUGGAUGGUGAUGGCCAUGGUGCAAGACUCAGCUUCAGUGGGGGCUGCUCCCAGGAUGUCGGGCUCACGGACCCCUCUCAUUGAUGCCAGUCUCAGGUGGCUCUAUCCCUGGAAGAACAUUCAGGUCAUUUUUGCAUCAUUUGAUCCUUGAAACUAUACUAAGAAGGGGUCAGAGUGAUAUCACCGUUUUCUCAAAUGUGAGAAUGAACACUGGCAAGAUAAAGUGACUUAUUCAAACGUACCCAGAGAGCUGAUGAGAAAGUCAAGCCUAGGAAGCAUGUAAGUCUCAUUCAUUCAUUCAUCAGUUCGUUGAAUAUCUUAUGGGUUUGGUGCC
rnacentral:lncRNA from 10 species